UACGGAGGGAGCUAGCGUUGUUCGGAAUUACUGGGCGUAAAGCGCACGUAGGCGGCUAUUUAAGUCAGGGGUGAAAUCCCGGGGCUCAACCCCGGAACUGCCUCUGAAACUGGCUAGCUAGAAUCUUGGAGAGGCGAGUGGAAUUCCGAGUGUAGAGGUGAAAUUCGUAGAUAUUCGGAAGAACACCAGUGGCGAAGGCGACUCGCUGGACAAGUAUUGACGCUGAGGUGCGAAAGCGUGGGGAGCAAACAGG
rnacentral:rRNA from 1 species